AUUCAUGAAUUGACCCACUAAAACAUUCAUAUAAUAAUGCUCACAUUUUGAACAUGUAAUAUUGUAGAUCUUCGAUCAAUUUACACAUAUCAAUCCAAUCCAUGAGAAAUUUGGAAAUUAGUGCCUCCAGAAUUUGUACGAAUUUGAUUCUUGAAUCCAUCCCGUAGCAUCUAAUACGGAACGUGAAGCGGCGUUGUUCUUUGUUUACUUUUAUGAGUUACUCCCUUCCGACGGGUUCCUUCCCGGCUUUCACAGAGCUUGUCAGAGUUUGCAAUUUUGUAAAUUUCCCAUUUGAAAUUUUGUAAAUUUCCCAUUUGAAAUUCGAUUCCAAUCAUCACCCAAUUCGUUUUUUUUGUUCAUUUUGCCUUUUUGAUUUGUGGCUCUGUGUUAAUUUUCAAGAGGGUCAUCGUUUUCGAACUUGGAGAGUAAUUGGGGUAUGGCGGAAGAGGAAUUUUCCGAUCAGAAUCGUCUUCUUAGAUCUAUGGAGGACCAUAAUGAGGAAGAUCAUGAUUUAGAAUCUCAAGAUGCAAAUGGGGUUCAUCCGUUGAGAAAUAACAGUGGAAAACGAGGUGGGUUUCUGGAUCUGCUUCAUCAUCUCAAUCGAGGGAGCAGUUUCUCUGGUCGUCGUUUAAGUUAUAAGCGUCUUGAUAUGGAUAAUCAUAACGUUAAUUUCAACCCUUCUUCUGUUAAUAUUGUUGGUAGAAGUCGUACCGCUUCUUCUUCUUCUUCUGAUCGUCACAACAAUUUCAAUUCGUAUUCUCUUCAUAGUCCAACUGCAAUUGAUGGCGAAAUUGAUGACAAUGGUGAUGAUACUGCCCCUCCGGAAUGGGCUUUGUUGCUUAUUGCUUGUCUUCUUGGCCUCGCCACCGGUCUUUGCGUUGCAGCUUUUAACAUUGGGGUACAUGUAAUCCAUGAGUGGGCUUGGGCUGGCACUCCAAACGAGGGUGCUGCUUGGCUUCGGUUACAGAGAAUGGCUGAUACUUGGCAUCGCAUUCUCUUGAUACCGGUGUGUGGAGGUGUUAUAGUGGGUAUGAUGCAUGGUUUGCUUGAGAUACUCAGUCAAAUAAAACAGUCAAGUGCUUCUCAAGGACAAGGAUUUGAUUUGCUUUCUGGAGUCUUUCCUACGGUUAAAGCCAUACAGGCAGCCAUCACUUUAGGUACUGGCUGUUCGUUGGGUCCUGAAGGACCUAGUGUAGAUAUUGGAAAAUCAUGUGCCAAUGGAUUCUAUCUUAUGAUGGAAAACAACAGUGAAAAGAUAAAAAUAGCAUUUGUUGCAGCUGGUGCAGCAGCGGGAAUUGCUUCAGGCUUCAAUGCAGCUGUUGCUGGUAGCUUCUUUGCAAUAGAAACUGUAUUGAGGCCUCUGCGUGCAGAGAAUUCACCUCCUUUUACGACUGCAAUGAUCAUACUGGCAUCUGUUAUCUCAUCUACAGUUUCAAAUGUUUUACUUGGGACACAGUCUGCUUUCACAGUACCUACGUAUGAUUUGAAAUCUGCUGCUGAACUCCCACUGUACUUGAUAUUAGGAAUGCUAUGUGGUGCUGUAAGUGUAGCAGUGACACGUUUGGUUGCUUGGUUCGGUAACUCAUUUGAGUUCAUCAAGGAAAGGUUUGGUCUUCCUCCUGUUGUCUGUCCUGCUUUAGGCGGUUUGGGAGCUGGGAUAAUAGCUCUCAAGUACCCUGGAAUCCUUUAUUGGGGUUUCACAAACGUGGAAGAAAUCCUACAUACUGGGAAUCGUCCUUCAGCUCCGGGGAUUUGGUUAUUAACUCAAAUAGCAGCUGCAAAAGUUGUGGCUACAGCUCUGUGCAAGGGUUCUGGGCUCGUAGGUGGCCUUUAUGCACCUAGUCUAAUGAUUGGUGCUGCUGUUGGUGCGGUAUUUGGGGGCUCGGCUGUUGAAAUCAUUAACAUUGCAAUUCCUGGAAAUGCAGCUGUUGCACAGCCACAAGCAUAUGCACUGGUUGGGAUGGCUGCUACGCUGGCCUCGGUCUGUUCAGUGCCUUUAACAUCCGUUCUACUUCUGUUUGAGCUGACAAAGGAUUAUAGGAUACUCCUUCCUCUCAUGGGGGCAGUAGGCUUAGCCAUAUGGGUACCUUCAGUUACAAAACAGACCAAGGAAAACGAAUCAUCUGAUAAGCGGGGUCUUGCGAGAGGUUAUACUUCUCUUUCACCAUCUGAACGUAAAGAUGGAGCAUCUUGGAGAUAUGAUAAUGGUGGCAUUGACUUGGAGCUCUCUGAGGUAGUAAGUUCAUCAGGCCAUGAAUCUAAUUAUGAAGAGAGUAUUCUCGAAGACCUAAAGGUUUCUCAAGCAAUGUCAAAAAACUAUCUGAAGGUUUCAUUGUCUACGUAUUUGAAAGAUGCACUUAAAUAUAUGAAGGAUAACCAGCAGAACUGUGCAUUAGUGGUUGACGAUGAUGAUUUCCUUGAGGGGAUCUUGACACAUGGUGACAUUAAACGAUAUCUCUUCAAGAAGUAUGGUGAUGCUUUCAUGGGUGAUUCACUGAGUGUGGAUACCUGUCUUGUGUCCUCUAUUUAUACUCGAGGAAUCAGAUAUCGUGGUCGAGAACGGGGGAUCUUGACAUGUUAUCCUGACACAGCUCUGGCAACUGCCAAGGAACUAAUGGAGGCCAAGGGUAUAAAGCAGUUACCUGUUGUUAUGCGUGGUAAAGAAAAGAAAAGAAGAAUUGUAGCCAUUCUCUACUACAACUCACUUAUUAGCUGUCUCAGAGAGUUCGUCAAUCAGAAGGAAACAGUAUAUCCUAGUGGAAAAGAGAUAGUUGUCCAGGAGAAUGUUGCUGAUGGUCACUAAGGUGCUGUGCAACAUAUUCAAAGCUCAAGUUUUCCAGCAUUCAGUAUCAAGGAACAAACUGAAUGAUGAACUACAGUGAUCUGUUUUAUUCAGAAUUAUUCCCUCUGAUGACAGAACAUUUGCAACCCUCCUGGUUGAUCUUCAGAGAAGUGAGAAAUUAUAUGAUUCAUUCAGAAGCAGAGAUGAACACUGAGAGAAAAAUAUGUCUACUGAGAAUUCAGGCUGUGAGGGAUCCAUAUGGUUUAUUAGGGUAUAUAUGGGCCAAACCUGUUGAAAGGAUUCAGCCUCCUUACAUUUUAGGUUUCAUUGUAGCCAAUUAACUCACUAUUUUUUGUACUGGAAUGUGAUCAAUGAAUUAGCUCAUUCCCACUUCUCAUGAA